AGGCUUGUAGUUUAAUGGUAAAAUAUACCGCUCAUAACGGUAAAGAUAUAGGUUCGAUUCCUAUCAAGCCUA
rnacentral:tRNA from 1 species